AAUCAACGCUGGCGGCGUGCCUAACACAUGCAAGUCGCGCGCGAAAGGGGGGCAACCCCCGAGUAAAGCGGCGAACGGGUGAGUAACACGUGGGUAAUCUACCUUCGAGUGGGGAACAACAUCGGGAAACUGGUGCUAAUUCCGCAUGACAUCGUCGGGGCUUCGGUUCCGACGCUCAAAGCUGGGGAUCGUAAGACCUAGCGCUUGAAGAUGAGCCCGCGUCCGAUUAGCUAGUUGGCGGGGAAUAGCCCACCAAGGCUCCGAUCGGUAGCCGGCCUGAGAGGGCGGACGGCCACACUGGAACUGAGACACGGUCCAGACUCCUACGGGAGGCAGCAGUGGGGAAUUUUUCGCAAUGGGGCAGCCCUGACGAAGCAACGCCGCGUGGGGAUGAAGGUCUUCGGAUUGUAAACCCCUGUCGACCGGGACGAAUGUAGAACGGCCUAAUACGCCGAGCUAUUGACUGUACCGGUGGAGGAAGCCACGGCUAACUCUGUGCCAGCAGCCGCGGUAAC
rnacentral:rRNA from 1 species